rnacentral:rRNA from 1 species
UACGUAGGUGGCAAGCGUUGUUCGGAAUUAUUGGGCGUAAAGGGCGCGUAGGCGGCAUGUUAAGUCGGCUGUGAAAGCCUGGGGCUCAACCCCAGAGGGUCGGCCGAUACUGGCAAGCUAGAGUACGGAAGAGGUAGCUGGAAUUCCCGGUGUAGCGGUGAAAUGCGUAGAUAUCAGGAAGAACACCCGUGGCGAAGGCGGCUCUCUGGGACGGUACUGACGCUGAGACGCGAAAGCGUGGGGAGCGAACAGG